GCGGUGCCCGAGGCCGUGGCCGGUGCCCGAGGCGGUGCCCGAUGCCGAGGCGGUCCCCGAUGCCGAGGCGGUGCCCGAGGCGGUUCCCGAUGCAAUGUCCGAUGCCGAGGCGGUGCCCGAUGCCGAGGCGGUGCCCGAUGCCGAGGCGGUGCCCGAGGCGGUGCCCGAUGCGGUGGCCGAGGCGGUUCCCGAUGCAAUGUCCGAUGCCGAGGCGGUGCCCGAUGCGGUGCCAGAGACGGUGCCAGAGACGGUUCCCGAUGUAAUGCCCGAGACCGAUGCUGUUCCGCAGGUCGAGGCGGUGCCCGAGGCUGUGCCCGAUGCCGACACGGUGCCCGAUGCUGUUCCGGAGGCCGAGGCGGUGCCCGAUGCGCAGGCCGAGGUCGUUGCCGAGGCGGUGUCCUUGUCCGAGGUCGAGCCCGAGGCCGUUCCCGAGGCGGAGCCCGAGGUCGUGCCCGAGGCCGUUCCCGAGGCGGUGUCCUUGUCCAAUGCCGUUCCUGAGGCCGUUCCUGAGACCGUUCCCGAGGCGGUGCCCGAUGCCGAGGUCGUUCCCGAGGCGGGGUCCUUGUCCAACGCCGUUCCUGAGGCCAUUCCUGAGGCCAUUCCUGAGACCGUUCCCGAGGCGGUGUCCUUGUCCGAUGCCGUUCCUGAGGCCAUUCCCGAGGCGGUGCCCGAUGCUGUUCCGGAGGCCGAUGCGGGGCCCGAGAUGGUUCCGGAGGCGAUACCCGUGUCCAAGGCCGUUCCCGAGGCGGUGCCCUUGUCUGAGGCCGUUCCCGAUGCCGUUCCCAAUGCCGUGACCUGGCCAUCGCCACAGCCUGCUCCUUACUGGCUCCCCGAUUGGCAGGUUCCGUUCGGGCCACUCAAAUGGCGAAUUCCUCCCUGGCCGUCUGCACAACGAGAAUGGACUGAUCCACCGUGGCCACCUGAACUGCCUGGCCCCUCGUGGUCCCCUGAACUUUCGGGUCCACCGUGGCCACCUGAACUGCCUGGUCCCUCGUGGUCCCCUGAACUUUCGGGUCCACCAUGGCCCCCUGAUCUGAC
ensembl:lncRNA